UACGUAGGGUGCAAGCGUUAAUCGGAAUUACUGGGCGUAAAGCGUGCGUAGGCGGUUUUGUAAGUUUGUCGUGAAAGCCCCGGGCUCAACCUGGGAAUUGCGAUGAAGACUGCAAGGCUUGAAUCUGGCAGAGGGGGGUAGAAUUCCACGUGUAGCAGUGAAAUGCGUAGAGAUGUGGAGGAACACCGAUGGCGAAGGCAGCCCCCUGGGUCAAGAUUGACGCUCAUGCACGAAAGCGUGGGGAGCAAACAGG
rnacentral:rRNA from 1 species